AUGAACGCUGGCGGCGUGCCUCAUCCAUGCCAGUCGCGCGAACAGACGAGGAGCUUGCUCCUCUGACGUUAGCGGCGGACUGGUUAGUAACACGUGGAUAACCUACCUAUAAGACUGGGAUAACUUCGGGAAACCGGAGCUAAUACCGGAUAAUAUAUUUAACCGCAUGGUUCAAUAGUGAAAGACGGUUUUGCUGUCACUUAUAGAUGGAUCCUCGCCGCAUUAGCUAGUUGGUAAGGUAACGGCUUACCAAGGCGACGAUGCGUAGCCGACCUGAGAGGGUGAUCGGCCACACUGGAACUGAGACACGGAACAGACUACUACGGGAGGCAGCAGUAGGGAAUAUUCCGCAAUGGGCGAAAGCCUGACGGAGCAACGCCGCGUGAGUGAUGAAGGUCUUCGGAUCGUAAAACUCUGUUAUUAGGGAAGAACAAAUGUGUAAGUAACUAUGCACGUCUUGACGGUACCUAAUCAGAAAGCCACGGCUAACUACGUG
rnacentral:rRNA from 1 species